GAUCAAUCCUCUUAUUUUCAUUUACAGAAACUAAUAGAUGACAAAUUAUGUGUAACAUACAGAGAUGGUUCAGCCACUUGUGUAAUUAAGGAAGGUUCAAAAGGACAUACAUAUUUGAAAGACGGAUUUUGGGUGCGGUAAUGGCGACGGUGUUCCAAUUUGAGACUUUUUGGGUUAGCCCAAGCAACAUCUUCUUGCAACUGGAUGGAGUGUGUAAGUGCAAAGAGGCUUGUUGCAGGUGAUUCGGUCCUUUUUCAUCUGGAAUGAAAGAAUCAUUUAAUCCUGGGAAUCUGGCAUGCUAAUCAGCCACAAACAGUCAUGCCUUUGUCACUAUAUAUAUUAACUUCUUGAAUUGUCUUUCAUAAAAAGAAAAAAGAAAAAAGAAAGAAAUAGUUACUGACAAUAUGCACUGGUGGAUUUCAUGCAUGAGGG